UAAUACAGAGGGUGCGAGCGUUAAUCGGAGUUACUGGGCGUAAAGGGCGCGUAGGCGGUUUUAAGGGUGUGAUGUGAAAGCCCUGGGCUUAACCUGGGAAGUGCAUCGCAAACCAUAAGACUGGAGUACAAGAGAGGGUGGCGGAAUUUCCGGUGUAGCGGUGAAAUGCGUAGAGAUCGGAAGGAACGUCGAUGGCGAAGGCAGCCACCUGGCUUGAUACUGACGCUGAAGCGCGAAAGCGUGGGGAGCGAACAGGAUUAGAUACCCUGGUAGUCCACGCUGUAAACGAUGAGGACUAGAUGUUGGAAGGGGAACCUUUCAGUAUCGAAGCUAACGCGAUAAGUCUUCCGCCUGGGAAGUACGGCCGCAAGGUUG
rnacentral:rRNA from 1 species